rnacentral:lncRNA from 1 species
CGAAAGUCUACAAUAUCAUCCCCCAACACCCGGAAACUCACGGGAACACAAGCUAACAGAAUGUAAUACACUGCUCUAACUCUAGAAUGUCUAAAAACAACAGUACGAAAUGAAGGCUAACUACUAAGAGGUAGAAUAAGAUAUAGACUCCUUGGUCUGCGGAUGCGGCAGAUGUACCUUGAAGUCUUUGCUAGAUCUCUCCGCCUCGGGGGUGAUACGCCUGGGUGGAGGUACCUAGAUCUGCAUAUGAAAAACAUGCGCAGAAGGGGCAUGAGUACACCACAACGGUACUUAGUAAGUGCCAAGCCUAACCUCGGUCGGGUAGUGACGAGGAAGGUUAGGGCCCUACUGAGAUUAAACAUAAUAAUAAAUUUGCAACAUUAUAAAUAAACAGUAUAAAUGAGUAUAGUUAUGAAGUAAGACAGGGUGCACAAGGCAACAAAUAAUACACAGAGAAUAAGGUAACACAGAGUAAAACAGCUCAAUACCAGUAACAACAACGAGGAUCUCCCAAGAUACCUUCCUGUAGUCCAUUUCAUCAACUGUCCAAGGAUCUCGGGAUACAGUCCCGUAGUCCAUCAUAUGUGUAUGUCCGAAUGAUCUCCCGGGAUACCGUCCCGUAGUCCAACUAUCAGUGCGCGAGGAUCUACCAGAAUCCGUUUCGUAGUCCCAAAGUAAAUGUGCAGGGUGAUCUACCGGGAAUCUAACCCGUAGUCCCAAAGUAAAUGUGCAGGGGGGUCUACCAAAAAUCUAACCCGUAGUCCCAAAGUAAACAAACAAGGGGGGAAGCUAUCGGAAUCCCACAUCCGUAGUCCCAAUGUAAAUACGCAGCCACAACAAGAAAAUAUUUAGAAAUGGAGUACAAAAAUACAAGGCAACAGGUAGUUCUAGCCUAAUAUGCUUCACUUAAUACAAACAAAGCAACUUCAGCAAAUAGUCAAUUUAGGUCAACUAGGCAUGAUUUUCUAAUCUAAAAUAGGUUAUAUUUGCAAGUGGGAUAAAUCAGGUAAGAAAGAAACUCAGUCUGAAUAAUUAAAGUAAAACCGGAUUUUCAACAAUUAGCUCAAGUACGCGACCGUCACCUCGCGUACAAGGCAUUCAAUUACCAAAUAUCAUGUCCUAAGGAGAAAGGUCCCCCACACAAGGUUAGACAAGCCACUUAACUCAAACCGGCUCCAAAAUCAACUCGAAACCACACGUUUGCCACGCGUCUACGACUCCAAAUGGACCAAAUCUAUUCAAUUCAAUUACAUAUCAUAAAUAACAUCUCAAGCAAUUGAUUCUAUGAUUUAAUUCAAAGUUAAGACGCGAAAUAAGAUAAAAUGACCAAAACGCCCCUCAGGCCAAUGUCUUGAAAUCGGAUGAAAUUAACAUUUUCAGAAUCCUCGUACUCUCACGGGUCUAACCAUAUAAAAAACUCUCAAAUCGGAGGUCAAACACCCAGUCAAAACUCAAUAAUUCGGUCUAUGAAGUUUUACCAAUUUUUCAUUCAUAAAUCCAAAAUUAGAAGAGGAAUUCAUGCUUAGAUUAGUGGGUUACAAGAAAAAAAAAGUCUAGAAUUGUUACCCAAUCAUUGUCUCUGAAAAACCCUCAAAAUCUCGCUCAAAUCCGAGCUCUCAAGCUUGAGUUUUGAUAAAAAUGGCUAAACCCUCGGUUUUGAAAUGUUUAUAACUGCCCAGAUAUUUUAUGCAUUGUGAAUGCGGAGGAAGUCACGGGUUCGCGAAGAAGGAAAUUGAAGGUUACUAAAUUUUGCUUCGCGAACGCGGAAGCAGACUCGCAAACGCGGAAGAGGAAAAUAUGGUGGCCCAGGAUUACUCUUCGGGAACGCGUGGAACUAUACGCGAAUGUGAAGAGUGGACUUUGCAAAGUACGCGAACGCGAGAGUGGGUAUGCAAACGCGAUGAGGAAAAUAGUGAGAGCCCUCAGCGCCAAAUAGAACUACGCGAACGCGAGGGCUUGGUCAUGAAUGCGAAUGAGGAAAAAGGUGAAGCUUCGCGAACGCAGGAGGCUUCAUGUGAACGCGAAGGGUUAUCAGGUCCUCCUCCAAGAUUACUCUACGCGAAUGCGUGGAGGAGGACGCGACCGCGAAGAAGAAAAAGUCUGCAAUAGCUGAAGCCAAAAAUCUGUAAUUUUAAACAACUCCAAAAUGCCCCGUUGAGCAUCCGAAACACACCCGAGGCCCCCGAGACCGCAACCAAACCUACGGACAUAUCCCAUAACAUCAUUCAAACUUGUACCAAUCCUUAAACCACCUAAAACAAUGUUGGAAACUCAAAUUAAUCAAUAAUUUAAGCCUAAGAACUUCAAAUUCUCUCAAAACAUGCUUUCGAUCAAAACCCUAACCAAACCACGUCCGAAUGACCUGAAAUUUUACACGCACAUUCCAAAUGAAAUGAUGGAACUACUGCAACUUUCGGAACUCCAUUCCGACCCUUAGAUCAAAAUCUCACUAUUGGACCGGAAACUUCAAAAAUUCAAACUUUGGCAUUUCAAGCUUAAAUUAGCUAGGGACCUCCAAAACACAUUCCGACCAUGCUCCCAACCCCGAAAUCACCUAACGGAGCUAACAGAACCAUAAAAUUUCCAUUCUGAGUUCAUCUUCACACUGUUCUGACUACGGGCAACUUUCCAACACUUAAGCUCUCAUUUAGGGACUAAGUAUCCCAAAACUCUCUAAAACUCAAAACCGAACAUCCCAACAAUCCCAAUUAGCAGAAAAAGACUUGGGGAAAGCAGUUAAUAGGGUAUCGGGGCAUUAAUUCUUAAGACGACUGGUCGGGUCGUCACACAGUCACAAUAAUAAGUUAAGCCUCACCUAAAAGCAUUUCUACGAGUGUUCAUUUUGUAAAACCGCAAUCAUGUCACGUGAAUUCGUACAUGAUCACGAUGGUUUGAUUAAUUAAACGCGUCUAAAAGCAUAUUACUGUUUAAUUUCCUCGAAUGUCGGAUUAUAAGAGGGAAUUUCAAACCAAAGGCAUUAAAGUAAGAAAGGUUGUUGUAAUUAACUCACUUAGAAAAUAAUCGGGCUUAGUCGUAACAUUUUAUUUUUAGCCAAACUAAUGAGAUAUACAAUAUUCCUCCUUCUCUUUAUCAAGGUUAACAAUUCUUUUUUUGGGGGGAGGGGGGAAGAGGGGUAGAUGACAUUAAAUUCCUACAACAACAUGGUCAAAGUCCAAAUGGGUUGUCCAGGUUUGUCUACCAGACAGGCUUUCAAAUCGGACUCGCUUAUGGAGUUUGGGCUCAUCCAGCUAAGCCUUAAAUAAACUAUCAGUUGGGUUCACUAUUAGAGCUCAAAUUCAAUUUAAGGGAGCUCUACUAAUUUGGUCUUGCAGAGUUACCAGGCCCAAUGCACAAUUUUAAUACAGAAACAGAUUUCUAUAGGAUUAUCACUCUGAAGCUAUAGAAUCAAAUAUGCAUGUAUUUAACUACAACAGGUUUAGAAUAAUACAAUAUGAUCAACUAUUGAAUUAACUUAUCAAUACAAAAGAGGUAUAAAAAUUAAAUCAUUACAAGUCAUUAACUAACUACAACCCAACAAGUUCCAUUCCUUUUAUAAAUAAGGAAGCAGAUUUGUACAUCACUACUCCUAACAACCUUCUUCAAAUAAUAUCCAGAAAGAAAAAAAUGAUUUAGGCUAGUGACUUUUCAAUUCCCUUAUUGAUCUUGAUUUACUGAGAUAUCCACUAGGCUACUCUCAUAAAUCACUUGGCCACCAGCAGUAGCUAAAAACACAAAUGCAAAAAAGAAUAGUCUAACUGUUGAGUAAUUCCUGAGUUUAAUUAAAGAACAAUUCCAUUUAAAAAAUCAUAGAGAUCAACACAAACUGAUUUCACUAAUCAGCCCCGCAAACACCAUUUCAAAUACGAACCACCUAUUUCAGGAAAUAAGUCAUUAUACAGGGAACAAUCAAUCAAACAUGGAGAUGUUUUGAGCAUGAAAUAACCUUUAAACUAGAUCAAUGACCUAUCUAUGACAUUAGACUUGAAUCAUGACUAAACUAAAAGAUAACAUGUAAUUGAAAUGAUUUAGGAGCACAGUAGGAUCAACAAAGUAAAACUCCUCAUUUCAGGUUGUGUAAAAGUAAAAGCAUCACACCAACGCCUCUGAACUUCUUAAGCUCAUAUUGACACUCGAAUUAAUAAUGACUUUGAACCCAACGAGUCAACAUAGCCUACAUAUUCAGCUUAAAAUGAAUUAAUAUAAUCAUAUAACCAUCAAGAGAAACAUAGAUGAAUCAGAUCUAAGCAUACCAAUAUCAGAAACACAUAAAAAUAGAUGUAGACAUGGCAUCAAUAUGUUAAUUCUGCAUUUCCACAUUCACAAAAGUUACAAGAAGGAAUCUCACAUACCUAUUUGUGAAAGACAAUCAACAAAAGCCAAAAGGGCUGAAAACUGAAGAAUAAGCUCAGCAAACUCAAAGAAAACAACAGCAAGAUAACAGAAGAUCAAUAAGGAAAUCCCAGAAUGAAACUUGACCUCAAUUCUAAAUCAGCUUCAGAAAACCAAGGUUGAUCCAGAAAAGAAACCAAACAUAUGAAACCAUUUUUUUCAAUCAGUAUAUGAAAGAAACUGAAACUUGUAAAAGAAAAUUUCUAAGGUAAAAUUUUGCCUCCAAAUCAGUCUAAAGGUGAGAGAAAAGAAGCUGAAUUUCAGAGAGAGGUUUUCGGUGUGUGUAAUCUGUAUGUAUGUCUGUCUAUGUGAGUGAUAUAUGGCCCUUUAUAUAGAAUAUAAGAGUGUGACUUUGUGAGAAAAAUCAGAGGGGUGUGAAAGAAUCUUUUGGGAAUUCUGUCAGCUGAAAUUUAGGGAUGGGGCAUCUUUUCUAUCAAAAAAUGUAGAUUUUUCUCAUGUAUUUUAGGUCCAUUUACUUCUG